rnacentral:tRNA from 1 species
UGUGAUCUCAAACCUCCCGUUAAA